rnacentral:rRNA from 1 species
AGCUCCAAUAGCGUAUAUUAAAGUUGCUGCAGUUAAAAAGCUCGUAGUUGGAUCUCGGGGGACCUGGUCUAGCCGGUAUAGCUCACGCUAAAACUGGUCUGACCCCCCAACGUGAGGUAUUCGUCUCCGGGGGCACUUCAUUGGGUGCUCGUGAGGGGCCUCGUAGUUACUGUGAAAAAAUUAGAGUGUUCAAAGCAGGCUCAUAUGUUCGGAUAGUCGUGCAUGGAAUAACUGAAUUCGUGACUUGCGCUUUUCUGUUGUUCUCGGCGUCUGGUCAAAUGAUUAAGAGGGACUGUCGGGGGCAUUUGUAUUGCGGGGUUAGAGGUGAAAUUCUUGGAUCCUCGCCAGUCCAACAAAAGCGAAAGCAUUUGCCUAGAAUGUCUUCA